UUGAACGCUGGCGGCAGGCUUAACACAUGCAAGUCGAGCGGGCGUAGCAAUACGUCAGCGGCAGACGGGAGAGUAACACGUGGGAACGCGCCCUUCGGUUCGGAAUAACUCAGGGAAACUUGAGCUAAUACCGGAUACGCCCUAACGGGGAAAGAUUUAUCGCCGAAGGAACGGCCCGCGUCGGAUUAGCUAGUUGGUGAGGUAAUGGCUCACCAAGGUGACGAUCCGUAGCUGGUCUGAGAGGAUGACCAGCCUCACUGGGACUGAGACACGGCCCAGACUCCUACGGGAGGCAGCAGUGGGGAAUAUUGGACAAUGGGCGCAAGCCUGAUCCAGCCAUGCCGCGUGGAUGAUGAAGGCCUUAGGGUUGUAAAGUCCUUUUAACGGGGAAGAUAAUGACGGUACCCGUAGAAUAAGCCCCGGCUAACUUCGU
rnacentral:rRNA from 1 species